CACCGCGGUUAUACGAGAGACCCUAGUUGAUAGGUGCGGCGUAAAGGGUGGUUAAGGAGAACAAAAGCUUAAAGCCAAAGGGCCUCCUGGCCGUCAUACGCUUCCGAGUGUCCGAAGCCCAAGCACGAAAGUAGCUUUAACACAAGCCCGCCUGACCCCACGAAAGCUGAGAAA
rnacentral:rRNA from 1 species